ensembl:lncRNA
CUGUUCCAGCUGAAGCCAAGUUUAUGUGGCAGAUGGAUUGUUGGAGCUAGGCAUAUUCUCUGCAGUUUUAUGUUUAAUUUUUACCACUGUGAGAAAAAAAAAAGUUACCUGUGCAGAGCACAGUCCCCAUUUUUACUUUCUUCUGGUCUGACUGAGCUGAUGGGGAAUUACAUGGUGAGCGUGCAGGCUCAGGUUUUUGUCUUCCCUCCAGGUGAUGCAUCUUGGCUGGAAGUGCUGGCAAAUUCAGGAUCUUCACAGCCACAGAAAGGCAGAAAGGACUCUGAAGCUGAUACACUGAUACAGAGCAACCUUUUCUUUCCAAUCCUUUCUCAUUUGUGCUUGACAGGAAUGAGUCUCACCUCUCCUAACUGGAGAGUUGCCUGUCAGACUCAAGAGUUAGAGGUCACCCCUAAUCAUUCUUGGCCAUCAAUUGAAAGUUUACAAAGGGCUGCUGGCAGCAUCUUUUUCUUUCUUCUUUAUUGCUGAAAAUGUCAGAAAUGGAUCACCACAAAGCCUCUUGGUAUAUGAAGGGAGGAACAAUGUCACCAAGUGCUGAUUCUGUUGUUCCUGAAGUCUUCAGAUACGUUUAUUGUCCCCAUUCAAACUUUACAGCUGAAGGAAGCUGGGAAGAGAAAUUGCUGUAAAUAUCUGUAAUUUACUACUGCAGUUUGUGAAAAAUGAAUCUUUAAAAAAAAAAAAUCUAUUUUUUAGCACAGUAUUUCCCUCAUACCUCAGCCACCUGCAAACCCUGGUGCAAUGUGGGAUACUUAGUUCUAGGAUGUGGGUUCAAAAUGCUGUACAAAAUAAGAUUAUACAGACACUUCAGUUUCAAGUAUGCUUUUCUCACAUAUCAGUUUACUAUAGCCAUCCCUUUGUCCACAACCACAUUUCUUCUAUCUGGAUGUGAAGUGAGGAAUAGUUUUGCUUUGGGGCAUUUUUCUGCCAGGAGAUGUAAUUCAGGAGCAGGGUUUCUUUUGAGAACUGACAAAACCAGAUUGUUAUCCCAGUAAAGUCAUGGUCUCCUUGAGAUUUAUGCAUAAUCCCAGACUGGCUUUGUCAAACAUUUAUGUCGUGUCACCAGUCCUGAGCACCUUAAAAUGUGAAGCAUCUGAAGCUUGUUCUGUAGCUGCUGCUAGGGUAUGUUAGCCUGGGAAAGCCUGGGCAGAGGCCAAGGACACAGAAGGAUGCUUUGUCAUUCAUUUUGGGUUUAAACAAACCAGGAAUGGUGCUGUAGUGGUUCUUCAGCUGCUUUUGUAUAUGAGGCACUUGUAGCCAAAUGCUGUUAGAAAACUCAAUUUCUUUGGCUAAAGGUAAAUUUACAACUUUGUGCAAAGCAACCUAAAGAACAUCUCCCUUCUUCUUUUUUGAUAGUAAAUGCCCAAAUCCUGCAUCUGUUUUUAGAUAAAUCGUCAAGUUUAAUCCUGCAGCCUUAUUAAACAAAUAUUUGUCUAUAUAGUAAACACAUCCCAAUGAAGCUUGGCAAAGCGAGGGGGAUGAGGUGUGAAUUGUGCUUGUGAAAGGUGGAUUAACUGUGUUUUUCUGAGGAAACUCGUCUGUCUGCUUUGCCAACCACAGAAAUAAAUCCUUAAGAUGCCUUUUCUGUCAAGAAUCACUGUUGCUCAAAAAUCUGUGGCUUUUCAGUGAGAAUAGAGUUUCUGUGUGCAGGUAAAGAUUUGGAGUAUCCGCUAUGAUUGUCAGCUUUACAGGUCACCUAAGCUGCGAAGAAUGCUUGACUGCAUGCAUGGAGAUUUCUGGUCAGAGGAUAAGAAAAAUAAUGUUUAUUUAUUUAUUUAUCUUUAUUCUUUUAAAUCACUCUUGACGCUGUAACUGAAAGCUAGGAAUUCAGACCUCACUGUCCUGGUGAUUCUACCCGUGGCCUUGACAAAUCCCUUUAGUCCAUGUUUGUAAAACACUCCUGUUUAUCCUCUAAUCUUGGAGUGUGCCAUGCCUUUUACAAAUUAGAAAAAGACUGAACUCUUCUUCGUGCUUUGAAAAAAAAAAAAACGGCUUUCCUUGAGACUCCUAGAACAUUUGGAACCUGAGGAGAGUGCUGUAAUUGCUAAUUACUGCUGUAUGUUAGCAGUGCUAAUAAACAUGUUUCUCAAGCUUAUUACUGCUACUCAGAAGAGCUCCAGGCCAGUAAUAAUAUAUCUAAGAAUUUAAAUAGACUGCUGAAGUGUUUAUAGACCAAAGGUAUUUUUGAAAUGCAACAGCUACUCACCACCAUUUCAUAUUAUACACAACAGCACAGGAAAUUUAAUCAAAAGAGCAAAAUGUCAACAGAAAAGCUGACAAGCUUUAAGGUAUUCACGCUUUUCAAGCACAGAAAGUUCUCAACAGCAGUAGUCUCUUGUACAGAGAUUUAUUCCCUCUGAAGACUUUUUACAUGGCUCAUAAAGAGUGAUGGAUGAAGUUAAUUUUUAGUUUAAUCUUUUUCUUCUCAGUUCAGUAAUUUCUUUGAUACUUUGCAAAAAAAUUAGGGAGAAUAUGGAACCACUUACCAGUCAUUAGUGAUCGUGUGUUGCAGACUGUGCACAGGCCACAACAAGUUGCCUGACAUUUCUAGAGAAUGGGAAGAAAGUUUUCCUUUGAAUAAC